GUGCUCAUAUCGGCAGCACACAUACUAAAAUUGGAAUGAUACAGAGAAGAUUAGCAUGGCCCCUGCACAAGGAUGACAUGCAAAUUCAUGAAUCAUUCCAUAUUUUG
rnacentral:snRNA from 1 species